GAUCAUGGCUCAGGAUGAACGCUGGCGGCGUGCUUAACACAUGCAAGUCGAACGAAGCACCUUGAUUUGAUUCUUCGGAUGAAGAUCUUGGUGACUGAGUGGCGGACGGGUGAGUAACGCGUGGGUAACCUGCCUCAUACAGGGGGAUAACAGUUAGAAAUGACUGCUAAUACCGCAUAAGACCACAGCACCGCAUGGUGCAGGGGUAAAAACUCCGGUGGUAUGAGAUGGACCCCG
rnacentral:rRNA from 1 species